AGCACCUCUGGGAAAAUCCUGUGCACUUCCAUGUUGGAGCCAUCCACAGCAUAACUGACAUUCGUACUUCCUGCCAGUUCCCUUGUUCAAGGGCAACUACCAUUUGUAAUUCGCAUUUACUGGCCUUAAUAGGCUUUUCGCGGUAUUACAGCAUUACUUUUCCAAUGCCUUGAAUAGCUUCAUCUGUCAGCAUUUACUAAGGCAAAGCAUGGACCGGUAGGUCUGAAUGUCCGCUGAAAACCCAUUUGAACAGAAUAAAAUCCAUUAAACACCAAACUCCAUACUUAGUUUUGGCGCUGUUCCUUACUAUGUUUCUUGCAGCGCUGAUGUUCCGGUCGCUGGUUAGACUCGUGAAAUCAAUGGUGGCGCAGCCGGCCGCUUCAAUUACAACCAUGCUCUAUUACGGCGAUCUUCUUCCUGAUAACGACUCGCUGAAUAGAUUGGUUAGGCAAGAGUUGUUUGAUCGUGACAAUCUUCUGUUUAAUGUACUAAUUAAUUUCUUGAGAUGUUUGGCGUAACCGGAUUGUCGAUGGUAGUAUUUCCACCUUCUCUAGCUUCACAAAUCCUUCUUUUUUGCUUUUAGUCUCUCAUACUUUGUGAGAAUAAAAUAAAUCCCGGGAAGGGAACUGGGACACUACUGAUUUUACAAGUCGCUUCAAUUAUUCUGCCCGCCGCUUUCCUGGGGUUCAAUGUGAAAAUUGGUUACUUUAACUUAGGUUGCAUCUAUUUUGUUAGUUCAUAAUUUUUAUCUUUUUGAGCCCACUAUGUAUUCUUCUAAUUAGUAGUGUAAACUGUAAAGCUCCAUUUGAUAAUUUUGAGUGCUUCCCGAA